rnacentral:rRNA from 1 species
CUGUUUGAUCCUGGCUCAGGACGAACGCUGGCGGCGUGCUUAACACAUGCAAGUCGAACGGAAAGGCCCUGCUUUUGUGGGGUGCUCGAGUGGCGAACGGGUGAGUAACACGUGAGUAACCUGCCCUUGACUUUGGGAUAACUUCAGGAAACUGGGGCUAAUACCGGAUAGGAGCUCCUGCUGCAUGGUGGGGGUUGGAAAGUUUCGGCGGUUGGGGAUGGACUCGCGGCUUAUCAGCUUGUUGGUGGGGUAGUGGCUUACCAAGGCUUUGACGGGUAGCCGGCCUGAGAGGGUGACCGGCCACAUUGGGACUGAGAUACGGCCCAGACUCCUACGGGAGGCAGCAGUGGGAAUAUUGCACAAUGGGCGGAAGCCUGAUGCAGCAACGCCGCGUGCGGGAUGACGGCCUUCGGGUUGUAAACCGCUUUCGCCUGUGACGAAGCGUGAGUGACGGUAAUGGGUAAAGAAGCACCGGCUAACUACGUGCCAGCAGCCGCGGUGAUACGUAGGGUGCGAGCGUUGUCCGGAUUUAUUGGGCGUAAAGGGCUCGUAGGUGGUUGAUCGCGUCGGAAGUGUAAUCUUGGGGCUUAACCCUGAGCGUGCUUUCGAUACGGGUUGACUUGAGGAAGGUAGGGGAGAAUGGAAUUCCUGGUGGAGCGGUGGAAUGCGCAGAUAUCAGGAGGAACACCAGUGGCGAAGGCGGUUCUCUGGGCCUUUCCUGACGCUGAGGAGCGAAAGCGUGGGGAGCGAACAGGCUUAGAUACCCUGGUAGUCCACGCUGUAAACGGUGGGUACUAGGUGUGGGGUCCAUUCCACGGGUUCCGUGCCGUAGCUAACGCUUUAAGUACCCCGCCUGGGGAGUACGGCCGCAAGGCUAAAACUCAAAGGAAUUGACGGGGCCCCGCACAAGCGGCGGAGCAUGCGGAUUAAUUCGAUGCAACGCGUAGAACCUUACCUGGGUUUGACAUGGAUCGGGAGUGCUCAGAGAUGGGUGUGCCUCUUUUGGGGUCGGUUCACAGGUGGUGCAUGGCUGUCGUCAGCUCGUGUCGUGAGAUGUUGGGUUAAGUCC